GGAAGAUAGAAAAGAAAAGCAAAUAUAUAUAUUUGCUGGCUUUGGACUUUUCUUUUAAGGUUCUCUUUUCCAUUUCUUUUCCACCACCUCUCUCAUUGCUUUCUUCCCUUUUCUUCUAAACCCUAAUCUCAUCUCAAUUACGGAUCUUAAUCUUAUAUUGUCUCUGCUUUAAUCGCAUAAAAAAUCACGCUUUUUUCUCUAUCUUUUUCUCUUUUAUAUUCAGGUUUCUUUUCAAAAAAGAAAUAAGGAUCAAUGUCUUUUGCACGGAAUUGCCGUAUGCAAGGGGGCAUUUUUCAGGAUGAUUACCAGUACCCUUUUGAUAGAAAUAAUUACAACAAUAACAGUUCCAAUAACUACAGGAACAGGAACUGGAAUUGGAAUAGCAAUCUUACCAGGAAUUGUAACUAUGCCCACGAAUUCUUUGGGCAGUUUGGGGAGCAUAAUAGAGGUUAUUAUCAUGCACAGCCGAAUUGUGCUCCUUUGAAAAGAAGAAAGUUUUCAGCUGCUACUUGGGGAGAUAAUGGGAGACACUAUCCGCCAUCUAACAUGCAUCACAGAACUGCUCCAUUGGACUCCUGCAAUUUUGUUCCUCCUUCUAUAAGAUUGAAUGCUGAAGCCUCUACAUCUGUCAGCAGUAAAUGUGGUCGGUCACAAUUGGAGGAUGAUGAACAUGGUUUUAUGUCUAGGGAUGAGAUUGAGAGAUAUUCACCUUCAAGAAGAGAUGGUAUUGAUGCCCUUUGCGAAACACAUCUGCGCUAUUCCUAUUGUGCCUUCAUUCAGAAUCUCGGUUUGCAGCUUGAUUUGCCGCAAACUACUAUUGGCACUGCCAUGGUUCUGUGUCAUCGGUUUUUUGUCCGAAGAUCACAUGCUUGCCAUGAUAGAUUUUUGAUUGCUACUGCUGCUCUUUUCCUUGCUGCAAAGUCCGAGGAGACACCUCGCCCUUUGAACAAUGUGUUGAGAGCAUCUUCUGAGAUUUUCCAUAAGCAGAAUGUUACAUUCUUAUCCCAUCUGCUCUCAGUUGAUUGGUUUGAGCAGUAUCGGGAACGUGUGAUUGAGGCAGAGCAAAUGAUAUUGACUACUUUAAACUUUGAACUUAACGUGCAGCAUCCAUAUGCUCCUCUUACAUCUAUUCUUAACAAAUUGGGCCUUUCACAAACUGUCUUGGUGAACCUGGCAUUAAACUUGGUCAGUGAAGGGUACCAUUUUGCUUUGGUUAUUUUGUUUUGAUGUUUGUAUUAUUCUGAGUAGUCUAAGAAUAACGCUCAUAGAUUGGGAUGUGUUCUUGUGGCUAUGAUUGAGUAGCUGCUUUAUACACUUGGAGUAAUGGUUGUUCCAAUGCCUUCAAUUAGCGGACUUUAAGGGGUUUUAACUUUCAACUUUAAUUGGAUUUUGGGUGGGGUGGGUCCCAUGUCGUCCCUAUGAAUUAGUUCAAAAAAUGAGUUCAGGUAUGAAGAAGGUUUUGAAGGUUAUCUUCUUCCAUCUUGUCCAAAAAUGUACUUCUGUCCAUAAUUUUCUUCUUUAGCCCAGCUACUCCCACAUAGUUAUUCUGGUAUGGCAUAUUGAUUAUUUUGGCAUGGCAUGUAAUUGCAGGAUCUUUUCAAGAUUAGCAUGCUCGCCUAUGUGAUAUUGUUAGCUGGCAGAUUGAUGAGCUGUUCAUGUAAAAUUUUGUUUUUACAUCUGAAGUUGAACUGCUGAUGUUUUUGGUUCUCUUUCCUAUGAUUUUACCCAUCAACUUGGUUAUGGCUAUGACAGCCACAGAACCUACAGAAACUAGUCUUGUUAUUUUACUUUUAACACCUUUCAUUUUUUGAGUUUCAGUUUAUUUGGAAUCACAAUCACUUCUCUGGAGUCCAUGCACAAACUUUGAGUUUGUGAAAUCUGGCUGCCUCCCAGUUUGUUUCCAUUCCACACUGAUCUGAAGAAAAAUUAUUGACUUGGAAGGUUCAAUAGUGGGGUUUUUCCCUCCUUUUUUCUUUUUAAAAAGAAUAAUAUAAACAAUGUGUUGGUCUGGUGAUGAUUUUCCAAGUUAUGAAGUCAUGGUUUGUUAUUAGCCUACCUUUUUCCUCUUAAGUAAAGGCUUUUUGGUUUUGCCAAAAUUCUUUUUUUGAUUCACUAAUUUGUCUACUUCUUAGAACAAUUUUCAAAUGAGGAGCUCUGGUUUGAUUUUGCCAAUGGCAAUGUCUUUCUAAUGAGAGUUAAAACCUCUUUUCAAGGGUUGCUUAUUAUUUAAAAAGUUUUCCUUUUUGAUUUGAUUACCAGCUCGAUGAGUAUCCUAUGUCUAGGCUUCAUUCCUUUCAAAUUUAGAGUCUACUUAUAGUUUUUGGAUUGUAAACUAGCUUGCAGUACCAGUCAUUUGGGAUGGUUUAGUUGCAAAAAAUAAAUUGAUCUGGUAGCAUGGCAUGAAGUAACUAAUUCCUAAAUAUAAUGGAAAGGCAUAAACAUGCAUGGCAUAAUGCAACCAAUUCCAAAAUAUAAUGAAAAGGCAUAAACAUGCAUGUCCAAGUCUAUUUGUCUUUGUUCUAUUAGAACCCAGUGAUUCUCAUUUAGGUUUACACCAUUCCUUUUGACCUGUUUCUAAACCUUGAAUUGAGUCAUAUCUUGUGGUUGAAUUCUUGGUGUUGCUAAAUAUAAGCGUUUGUUUGGCUUUUGGAAAGAUACUUGUUUUUGGACAAUAUUGUUAGUUUGACGUCUAUUGUCUUUCCUUCUUUCCCCUUAUUGAAACAUUUCAGUUGUAUUAUUCUCCUCAAUGAUUUAUCUUUUUUUGUCUCUCAGCUAAAAUGAUUUGUUUCUAUUAGUUUUAGUUUAAAGACAGUUAAUUUGUGUUUCAAACUGAAUUUUGUCAUUUCAUUUAAGUUUCUUCAUCUAUCUAUUAUACUAUCUUCAGAUAAUGUCAACCCUGCUCUAUGCGGGUGGUCAACUCAUUUUUAUGUCUAUUACACAAUUAUGUAAAUACUUAACCUAAUACUGUAAUGUGUACAUAUAUUUAGGUAUAUAUUAUUUGCUAGAAGAUUGAGAAAAAUACAAAGAUGAAAUGAAAGAUGCCUUGUCCUUGCAGGAUAUCCAAAAGAAAUCUGUGAAUAAAUCCAAACUUCUUUAAUGCUAGUUUAUAUCUUGCAUCUGUUGAAGGCGGUUGUGUAUGCUUGAUAAGCAUGAAUGGCUUUAUUGCUUAGAGCACUUGGGUAAAUACUGGAUUUAUGACAACUUUUUAACUAAAGUUGUUGACAUUAUGAAGCAAUAGUUAUCAAUACUGAAAAAUGUUACCCUGUAAUUAGGGUGAACUAGAAUGGGUUCAGUCAAAAGGGCAUAUACGCACUUGGGUCUUUACAGUCAAUUGGAAUAGACAGUAUGAAGCCUAUCUCAAUUGCUGUGCCACUAGGCAGUCUGAGUUCUUUAAUUUCUUUUUGAAUCAGGCUUGGACCGGUAAUCUUGUUGGGCCUGGGUCAUGUGAUUAUUUAAUGCAUGGUGCUGGUUCAAGACAUGGCAUAGUCUUCUACUGCCUGAUGUUUUGUGGAAGAAUGUUUUUCCAGCCGGAGAUGAUAAUUAUUGAAAGUUCUGUGCAUCAGAUCUGUUCAAAAAUUAUUUAUCCUUGUCCUUGUUGGUCCUACCACUUUCAUGCCAAGCUAGGGGCUUUAUAGGGCCAAAUUAUGAAGAAAAAUAAAUUUAUGGAAAUUAUAUAUAUAUAUAUAUAUACAUAAAUAUAUAUAUGUUAUGUUAUGUAUGUGUGCCCGCAUGUGCGUACACGUGCUUUGUAUUUUUCCCCCAUUAUCAACUAUUUAUUACUAUAUCUAUAGUUGCUGCCCCACUGCCCUCGUUGCAUUUACAACCCACUAAUUCUUCACAUUUUAACUUUUUUUGAAAAGUUGAUUAUUUUUAACAUUAUCUUUUUGGUUUUUUUUUUUUUGUUUUUGAGCUUUGGUUUAUUAACAAAGGGCAUCUGUAUAUAAUAUUUUAUACUGGUUUAUGAGUUACUAUCUGUACAACAAUAAUACAGCAUUAUGUUGUACCUUAUGUUAUAUUGAGUAGAUUACAAAUAUCGCUCAUAGCUUAAUUCUUGCCUGCCUUAGUUCUAUAUAAUUGUGGUACCAUGCGUUCUCCAUGAGUGGUGAGGCUUUCUUGUUGAUUCAGAUAACUGAGCUGAAGAGACUUGCUUUGAAAUCUACAUUGCGCUGCUACCUCUGUUUAUUUUAUGUUUGAUAUGACUAUAUUACUGGAGUUAAAAGCACAGCAGAUUGGGCUGGAAUUGAUUUGUUCUCUAGGUGGGUAUAACAUGUUUGCUAUAGUUGUCGUACUCUAUCAACCAUGGUGCAGAGAUUCUUGGAAAAUAUUCUACCUGGAUUGAUGCCAUUAGUUGGCUCAGGAGCUCAUUGUGGCUACAAUUUAAACCUCAUCACAUUGCUGCUGGAGCUGCUUAUCUUGCGGCCAAGUUUCUAAGUUUUGAUCUUGCUUCUUACCAUGAUAUCUGGCAAGAA